GUUGGUGGAGUGAUUUGUCUGGUUAAUUCCGUUAACGAACGAGACCUCAGCCAGCUAAAUAGCGGCGCGUAACUUCGGUUACACGUCGAGACUUCUUAGAGGGACUUUGUGUUCGUAACACAAGGAAGUUUGAGGCAAUAACAGG
rnacentral:rRNA from 1 species